AUGAGAUGGGUGAGGAAAGAUGGUCUUAGCCUGGCCGACCGUGUUUUGUUCCUAGGGUCACCCAACAGCUUCGCUAUGGAUGCCGCGCGGCUAGGCAAACACUAUCAUGGCGGAUACGCCUACUUCAUCAACCACACCUACGACUACGAGUUGUAUGGCAUGUUCAGGUGCAAUCUCGUUGGUGGCGAGGGUGAACUCAUCGAGAGGCUGCCUCCACAUUGGGAUGACAAUUUUUGCACGUGGUUCAACCCGCAAUCCGUCGUCAUUGCUCCAGUUCAAGUAACAACGGAAAUCAGCGAGAGGUCGGCGAAGGAUACAAAACUGAAGGAGCAGCAACCAGAGGAAGCGGUCCCAAUACACACAAUUCACAUUGAGAGACAACGCUUGCCUAGCCUCAGGCUGCUGGUGCGCAAUCUGCCACUCAACGUGAAGAGUGAACAGCUACGACUCGUCUUCAGCGAGCACGGUAAAGUCUCUGAUGCAAAGGUGAUCCGCUAUAAAAAGACUGGGGCCUCACAGGGUAUAGGCCAUGUGACCAUAGAGAUGGCACAUGCCCAUCAGGAUUGUGCUCUCAUGGCUCUCAAUGAGCUAGUUUUGGAUGGUUGCAGUCUCGAGGUUAGUUUGAUCAAGGAGGGGCAGCCACGGCGACGGCGACGUCAGCGUAGAUAUAUCUAA
rnacentral:rRNA from 1 species